UGGGGAAUAUUGCACAAUGGGCGCAAGCCUGAUGCAGCCAUGCCGCGUGUGUGAAGAAGGCCUUCGGGUUGUAAAGCACUUUCAGCGGGGAGGAAGGCGGUGAGGUUAAUAACCUCAUCGAUUGACGUUACCCGCAGAAGAAGCACCGGCUAACUCCGUGCCAGCAGCCGCGGUAAUACGGAGGGUGCAAGCGUUAAUCGGAAUUACUGGGCGUAAAGCGCACGCAGGCGGUCUGUCAAGUCGGAUGUGAAAUCACCGGGCUCAACCUGGGAACUGCAUUCGAAACUGGCAGGCUAGAGUCUUGUAGAGGGGGGUAGAAUUCCAGGUGUAGCGGUGAAAUGCGUAGAGAUCUGGAGGAAUACCGGUGGCGAAGGCGGCCCCCUGGACGAAGACUGACGCUCAGGUGCGAAAGCGUGGGGAGCAAACAGG
rnacentral:rRNA from 1 species